UUUUUUUGCUUGGGGAAAUCAGAUGUUAGGUGAAAAAUUUCUAACUGAGUGAAACGAGAUGUUAGUUGAGAGAUGGUAUGGCGAUCGUGUUGUUUCACCGAGUUGAGUAUCGAGCGCACACCCUGUAGGCGCUGCAUUUGUUUUCAGAGUUCUCACUUAGUGAAACCUGAUGGUGGAAAGUUUGUCACCACAGGGCUGUUUCACAGAAGUGCAUAUAUGGCGCUUUCGACACAAGCCCCGCAGCGUUUGUCCGUUUUAAGUGAAAGGAGAUGUUAGUUGCAAGAUGGAUUCCCCACACUGUUGCUUCACAGAGUUGAGUAAAUGGCACUUACUAACAUGUCGGCUCCGCAUAGGCUUUCCAAGAGUUUUCAGUGAGUGAAAUCAGAUGUCGGUUGAGUGCCUCACCGCAGUGCCGGUGGACAGAGUGGUGUAUACGGCACUUAAGGUGUUGGACCCCUGUGGGGUUUCAAACACACCAAACAUAGUGAAACCUGCUGUGUGCUGGUGAAGUUUCAGCACGCUGUUGUUGCACAGAGUUGAGUACAUGGCACUUUCGUCAUUGGCCCCGCAUAGGUUUUCAAACACUUGUAAGUUGGGAAACAAGUUGUCAGUUGAAGGAUGGUUUCCCCACAGUAUCCUUUGCCAGAGUUGAGCAAACGGCACUAUCCUCCUAGGCCCCGCAUACACUGGACCCAAACCUUUCUAACUUAGUGAAACCAGAUUUGGGGUGAUGGUUUCCCCACAGUGUCGUUUCACAGAGUUGAGGGUAUGGCACUUUCCGUGUAGGUCUUGCGAAGGAUUUCAAAGCACUUUGCCUUUGUGACACCAGAUGUUAGGUGAAAGGCGCUUUCUCCACAUUGUUUCUCUCAGAUUUAAGUAUACAGCCCUUACCGUGUAGGUCCCGCAUAGGUUUGGAAAGAGUGCCCACUCAGUGAAACCCGGUGUUAGUUGAACGUUGGUUCGCCCCCGGUAUUCUCUCACGCCCUCGAGUAUCUGUCACUUUCCUCAUCGUUCCCCGCAUAGGUUUUGAAACAAACACUUCUCACUUAGUGAGACGAGACUUUAGUUGAGAGAACGUCUCUCCACAAUAUUUUCACACAGGAUGGAGUGUAUGUCACAGUCACCAUUUCCCCCCGCAAAUGUUAUCACAAACUUCGAACUUCGUGUUUGAAAAACCCAUGCGGGGGCCUAUGCGGAUAGGGCCAUAUGCUGAACGCUGUGAAACAACACUGUGGGGAAGGCAUCUUCAGAUAUCAUCUGGUUUCGCUGUUAGAAGGGUCUAUAAACCCAUGGGGGUCCGCCACGAAAGCGCCGUAAGCUCAAGACUGUGAAACAACAGUGUCCCGACACCGUCUUUCAACUACCAUCUGGCUUCGGUACGCUAAAAGUGUUUGAACGAUAUGCGGGGCCUAUUGGGAUACUACCAUACAGUCAACUCCGUGAGGCAACAGUGUGGUGACACAACCUUUCAACUUACGUCUGGGUUCAGUAAGUGAUUAAAACCUAUAGGGUGCCUACAAGGGAGGCGCCAUCUGCUCUCCUCUGUGAGGCAACACUGUGGGGAACUAACAGUUCGACUAAACGUUCAACUAACGUUCAACGAACGCCUCGUUUCCUUAAGUUAGAAAUGUUUGGAAAACUUGCGGGGCCUUUGCCGAAAGUGCCUUAUAGUCCCUCAAACGGCACCAUGCGGAAACCAUCAUCUUUCAACUGACGUGUCGUAUCGCCAAGUUAGACAUGGUUGAAUACCCAUGUGGGGAACGAUGUGGAAAGUGACAUAUACUCGACACGGUGGGAGAAUAGUGUGGACGAACCAUCUUUCAACUAACAUCUUGUUUCCCUGAGUUGGACGUGUUUGCAAACCUAAGGGGGCCUAGGAGGGAAGUGCCAUAUACUGCGAUCUGUGGGGGAAACCAUCUUUCAACUGACACCUUGGCUCGCUAUGUUAGAAGUGUUUGAAAAACCCGUGCGACACCUACAAGGAAAGUGCCCUAGAAGCAACACUGUGAAACAACACUGUGUAGGAAUCUUUGAACUCAUAUCAUGUUUCACUGUUACAAGUGGAGAAAUCCUGGGUCUGUUAGUAUAAAGAACGCGCCGUUGACUUAACUUUGUGAAACAUCAUUGUAGGGAAACUAACUUUCAAAAACCACUGGUUCAACUAAGUUGGAAGUGUUGGAAAACCCAUGAGGGGCCUACACGGAAAGUGCCAGAUACUCAACUCUGUCACACAUCACUGUGCUGAAACCGUUGUGAAACAAACGUCUCGUUUCACAAGUGUAGAAGUGUUCGAAAACCUCUGUGGGGCUCAUGAGUAAAGUGCCAUUAUCCUCCGUCAAACAGCACGUAGGGGGAAAGGUCUGCCCACGAACAUCACGUUUCACUAAGUGACACGUCUUUGAAAACCUAUGUGGAGCUUACGCGGAAGGCGCCGUAUGCUCAAAUCUGUCCAGGAGCACUACGGGGAAGCCAUCCGGCUCCUUCCAUCUCCCUCCGCUAAGAAUUAGUGGAAAUAAUGUGUUGCCUAGGAGGAUAGUGCCGUACACUCCACUCUGUGAAACAACACUGUGGGGAAAGCUUCUUUCAAAGAAACUACCACCCGCUGUCCCCAAGUUAGACGUGCUCGAAAACUCUCCCGCAACCUGUGCGGAAAGUGCCGUAUACUCGGCACCGUGAAACACUGUGGGGAAACUAUUUCUCAAGUAACAUUUCGUUUCACUAAGUUAGAAGCGCUUGAAGACCUAUGCGGCACCUGUGGGGAAAGUGCCAUACACUCAACCCGGUCAAGCAGCACUUUGGGGAACCAACCUAUCUUUCACCUAACAUCUCGUUUCACCUGAGUGAGAACUGUCUGAAAAACCUAUGCGGGCCCUACAGGGUAAGUGUCUUAUACUCAAUUCUGUGAAACAACACUGUGUGGAAACCAUCUUUCAACUAACACGUCAUUUCACUAGGGUAGAAGUGUUUGAAAACCUAGGCGGGACCUAGGCGGAAAGCACCAUAUACUGUAAUCUGGGAACUACACUAUAGGGAAACCCGUCUUUCAGCUAACAUCUUGUUUCGCUAAGGGAGAAGGGUUGGAAAACUUGUGCGCGGCCUAUGCCGAAAGGGACAUAUAGUCAACUUUGUGAAACAAACAAACAAACAAACAAAACACAACAACACCGUGGAGACGCAGCGUCUUUCAACUCACAUCUGGUUUCACAAAGUAAGUUAAGAUAGUUUGAAAACUUAUGAAUCACUCACAGGGAAAGGGCCACACACUCAACUCUGUGAAACAACACUGUGGGGAAAACAUCUUUCACCUAAUAUCUGGUCUCACUAAGUGAAAAGUGUUUUUGACUACACAUGCGGGGCCUAGCGGACAGUGCCAUAGACUCGACUCUGUGAAACAACACUGGGGUGAAAGAAUCUUGCAACAAACAUCUGGUUUCUCUAGGUUCGGUGUGUUUGAAACCCCUUACGGGGCCAUCACGUAAAGUGCCAUACACUCCGCUCUGAAAUAACAGCGUGGUAAAACAUCCUUUCAACUAACAUCUGAGUUCACUGAGAACUGCUUGGAAACCGAUGCGUGUGGGGAGGGGGCUACACGGCAAGUGCCAUAUACGCAACUCUAAGAAGCAACAUUGGGGGGUGGUGGGGGUGGGGGGAACCAUCUUGCAAGUAAACGUCUCGUUUUCACUAGGUCACUAGGGUCUGAAAGACUAGGCGGGGCCGAUGCCGAUAGCGCCACACACCCAGUUCUAUCACGCUGCGCUGUGCGGAAACCAUCUUUCAACUCAAUGUUGCAUCACGGAGUUCGAAAUGUUGGACAACCCAUGCACGGAACGAUGUGGAAAGGGACACAUACACGACACUGUGAGAGACUCCUGUGGACAAACCAUCUUUCCGCUAACAUCUCGUUUCACCAAGUUAGAAGUGUUUGAAAGCCUAUGCAGGGCCUAUUCCGAAAGUGUCAUGCUCUUUGAAACCACUCUUGGACACAACACCGCGGCGACACAAUCUUUCAACUAACAUCUGGUUUCGCUAAUUAGGUGAGUACCGCUUGAAACCUAUGCGGGGACUACAGGGUAAGUGCCGUAUACUCAACGCGGAGAAACAACACUGAGGGGAAACCAUCUUUCAACUAACAUCCCCUUUCACUGUGACAAGGGUUUGAGACAAUAAGCGCGGCCUACGCCCAACGUGCCACACACUCAACUCUCAAACUGCACUUUGCGGAGACCAGCUUUCAACUAACAUCUUGUAUCGCUGAGUGAGAAUUGUUAAAAACCUAUGCAGGGAACGAUGAGGAAAAGGGCAUACGGCCGAGACUGGCAGACAUUACCGUGGACAAAACCGUCUUUCAAAGAGCCUCUUGUUUCACUAAGAUAGAAGCGUCUGAAAGCCCACGCAAGGGAAGUAUGAGGACUGUGCCGUAAAACAACAGUGUUGCCGAACCAUCGUUCCGCUUACAGCGUGUUUCACGAAGUGAGAAGUGUUGGAAAUCUAUCGGGAGUCUAAGCGGAAAGUGCAAGUGCCGUCUACGCGACCGUGCGAAAACACUGUGGGGAAGCCAUCCUUCAACGACUAUCUUGUUUCAUUACCUUGGCAGUUGUUGGACAACCCUGCACAGCCUAUGAGGAAAGUUACAUGUACUCAACGGUGUCAAGUAGCGCUUUGGGGAACCUAUCUUUCAACGACCAUCUCGUUUCCCUAAGGUAGAAGUGUUUGAAAUCCCUGGCGGGGACUAUGCGGAUAGCGCCAUAUCCUCUACUCUGUGAAACACUGUGGGGAUACCGUCUUGCAAGGAAGAUCUCUUGUCACAAAGUUAGGCGUGGUGGUAACCAUAUACGGGGCCUGGGCAGAGUGUCAUAUACUGAACUCCGUGAAACAACAUUGUAGGGAAACCAUCUUUCAACUGACAUGUCCUUUCACUAAGUUAGAGUUGUUUGAAGAGCAAUGCGGGGGCUAGGCAGAGAGCGUCGUAUGCUGGAUUCUGUGAAACAACACUGUGGGGAAACGCUCUUUCCACUAACUAUCUCGUUUCACUAAGUUAGAAUUGUUUCAGAAACAAUGCCGGACGUGCCAUAGCCUCAACUGUGCCAACCAGCACUUCGCCAAGCACUCGUGUUUUGAAACUCUCAUCUUGGUUUCGCCAGGUGAGAACUGUUUGCAAACCUAUUCGGGGCCUAGGCCAAAAGAGCCAUAUGCUCAGCCGCAUCGACCGGCACUUUGCAAAAACAAUCUGUCAGCUAACAUCUUUUUUCCCUAAGUUAGAAGUAUCUGAAAACAUAUGCGUGGAACGCUGCAGAGGUGAGUGAACCUCUAAAUUGUGUAGGAGGGCCCAGAAUCCUGAGGUUUGGGAGUGGAGAACCCCUGUAAUGAGUCCUGAGACCUCAGGACUUGGCAAACCUCCCCUCAUGAGAGCUUCACAGCUACCCCUGUGAGCUAGAGUUUCUCAUCUCAAUGGUGAGUGAAGGGAGUUUGCACUUAUGACACUGGUCCUGGUGCCCAAGACUGAAUGCAAAGCUGCAUGAAGUUUGUCUGAGUUGACCUCAGCCUCUCCCUCUCAGGCUGCUUAUGGGGGGAGAGCAAAAUCAGGCACCUCCACAUCGGCAAGCACUUACAUAGCCUAACAGCCCCCUCCCCCCAGAGGUUUCAGCCUCCCCUUCUGUCAUCAGAGAGGGUUGUGCUAUAAGGUGCUUGACUGUCUACCCCAUGUCGUCCUUUCUCUGGACCCCAGAGCCUGGCUUAUAUCCCAGUCCUGUUAUCUGUGUAUGGACAGUCUUCUAAUGUGUCCUGACACGAGAACAACAUGAGAAAGGAUGGGUAUAAGGAACAAGCAAUAACAAGGGGCUCUUUCUGAUGGACUUUGGCUAUUUGCUUUCUAGGGAGAUGGGAUCAACCAUAAGAAAAAAAAACUAAGGUGAGCACUUGUGGCACUUCCUAUUAGGGAAGUGUAGGGGAGUGGAUACCAGAGAUGCCCCUGGGAAGAAUAUUUCUUGGCUGCAUCCCCUCCAUCAUACAUUUACUGGAAUAGUUUGAUAAUGAAAAAGUGUAAGACCCAUCCAUCUGGUAAGUGAAGUCAGGGGAGUGGCAUCAGGGAUAACUUCCUGCAGGAGGAGGGGCUAUUUAUACUCACCUCUGAGAACAGGUUGAGACUGGAUGAAUUUUCAGGGAAGGAAGGCUGCCACAUGUGCAAAGACCUAGGACUGGUCCCCUAUCCCACUGCUCAACCCACCCAGGCUCUGUGUGCAUCCUGUUCUUCUCUUGGCCUAGGAAUACAAAGCAAUGAAAGAGAUCAUGCUCCUCCAGGUGGCUGCAGAUAACUACACUCUAGAACCGAAGGAGGAGUUUAGAGCCUGGUUCCAGGCUGUGGAGCGACUCAGUGAGGAUGAGAGCUACAUCCUGUCCUGCCAGCUGGAGCCCCAAUCCUAGCUGACCAGUGAAACUCAAGAACAAGAAGAAUUGGCCACAAUCAAGCUCAGGACUGAGUGAUUGUCCAGUGACAGUGCAACCUUUCUUCAGCAGCUUGGACACUUGCUGUGAUGAACCCCAUCUCCUUGACACUUCUUCCUCCCAUCCAUUUACCUACUUGGAGUGGCAAUAUUUAUCUUAUAGUAAAGCUAGAUUUGAAUAUUA